CAUUCAGAUCUCACUUUCAUGCACAGCAUAAGGGCAUAGUGAGGGAGUGUCUGAAGGGUGGUGUGCUAUGGCUACUCUGGGUUGCAGAGCAGACUGUGGACACCCAAGAGUAGUUGUAGAAUUAGAGCAUAACCAGGGAUUGCUCUAAUUUAUGCUAGGAUCUAUGCCACACCCCAAGCCCCCGGAAGAGCCUAGAAUCCCACAGGUGCCAAGCACAUGUAUGGCAGGUGAAAGAUCGUGGGUAGACAUGGCUCUAAGUAAUGAAGUCCACACAAUAGGGGCAUCACUGGCAGCAGCAUCAGUACAGGCUUUACCCAGACUCCCUUCUCGACCAGGGCCAAGUCUGAGCCAUGACUUGGGUUUUAUAGGAAAGAAAAGAGGUGCAAUGUGAAGCCUGCAAGAGUUAAUGGAGUCUCAGGACAUUAAUAGCAACUCUUCAGCCUCUCCAUAGUCUGGGGGAGAAGAUGUCCUCUCUGUGACAUGCGCUAAGAGAUCCAGCACAGAGCUGUGUGCCAAUGGAAAGCUCUGACCCAUU